GUGCUUCCUGCAGUAGCAUAUAUAUUAAAAUUGGAACAGUACAGAGAGUAGCUUGACCCCUGCAUAAGGAUGACAUGUGAGUUGAUAAAGCAUUCCAUAUAUUA